rnacentral:tRNA from 1 species
GCGCCUGUAGCUCAGCGGACAAGAGCACUGGUCUUCGGAACCAGGGGUCGUGGGUUCGAAUCCCUCCAGGCGUG